UACGUAGGCAGCGAGCGUUGUUCGGAGUACUGGACGUAAAGGGUGUGUAGGCGGUUGUUUAAGUUUGGUGUAAAAUCUCCCGGCUCAACUGGGAGGGUGCGCCGAAUACUGAAUGACUUGGAGUGCGGGAGAGGAAAGUGGAAUUCCUGGUGUAGCGGUGAAAUGCGUAGAUAUCAGGAGGAACACCGGUGGUGUAGACGGCUUCUGGACCGUAACUGACGCUGAGACACGAAAGCGUGGGUAGCAAACAGG
rnacentral:rRNA from 1 species